rnacentral:misc_RNA from 1 species
GUGGUGCAGCAUGCCAUCACAAUUCCGGAAGGCCUGACCUCGGAGCAGAUCGUUGCCCGGCUUCAGGACAACGAUAUUUUCUCCGGCUCGCUGAAAGAGCAGCCGCGCGAGGGCACGCUGCUGCCCGACACCUAUAAUUUCCCGCGCGGCACCCCGCGCGAUCAGGUGAUCCAUCGCAUGCAGCAGGCGCAGAAGAAAGUCCUCGCCGAGGUCUGGGCGC